rnacentral:rRNA from 1 species
UACGGAGGGGGCUAGCGUUGUUCGGAAUUACUGGGCGUAAAGCGCACGUAGGCGGCUUUGUAAGUUAGAGGUGAAAGCCCCGGGGGCUCAACUCCGGAAUUGCCUUUAAGACUGCAUCGCUAGAAUUGUGGGGGAGGUAAGUGGAAUUCCGAGUGUAGAGGUGAAAUUCGUAGAUAUUCGGAAGAACACCAGUGGCGAAGGCGACUUCUGGACACAU